GACAGAGGGGGCAAGCGUUGCUCGGAAUCACUGGGCGUAAAGGGCGCGUAGGCGGGAUGGCAAGUCAGUCGUGAAAUCUCUCGGCUCAACCGAGAAACGUCGGCUGAUACUGCCGUUCUUGAGGGAUGCAGAGGAGACUGGAAUUCCUGGUGUAGCGGUGAAAUGCGCAGAUAUCAGGAGGAACACCGGUGGCGAAGGCGGGUCUCUGGGCCGAUACUGACGCUGAGACGCGAAAGCGUGGGGAGCGAACAGG
rnacentral:rRNA from 1 species